CAGCAGUUCAAGUUGCAUCCCUUUUUAUUGGGUCUAAAACAUCCGUAGCUUGCCGUUUAAGUCUCUUGUGAAAUCCUACGUCUCAAGCGUAGGGCUUGCAGGAGAUACUGAGCGGCUAGAGAUCGGUAGACGUAAGGAGUACGCCGGAGGUAGUGGUAAAAUACGUUAAUCUUCGGUGGACUAACAAUGAGCGAAGGCACCUUACGAGGACGAAUCUGACAGUGAGGGACGAAGGCCAGGGGAGCGAACCGGAUUAGAUACCCGAGUAGUCC
rnacentral:rRNA from 1 species